rnacentral:lncRNA from 1 species
UUUAUUAUAUCUUUUUAUUAGACUCUUCUAUAAUAACAUCCAUAUUUUUAAUUUUCACUAUAUACUCUUAUUAUUACAAAACAUCCACUCUCUAUAAACUUGUGUAUCCUAUGAUAUGCACCAAAUAAUCCAAAUCUUAUUUGAUUCAUAUUAUAUUUUCUAUAUCUUCAUCUAAGUCUUUUUCAUCAUUUUUGUUAUU